GACGAACGCUGGCGGCGUGCUUAACACAUGCAAGUCGAACGAAGUGGCGAACGGGUGAGUAACGCGUAAUCAACCUGCCCUUCAGUGGGGUACAACAGUUGGAAACGAAUGCUAAUACAGCAUAGUGAAGGAGGGGUUUGCGUCUGAUUAGCUAGUUGGAGGGGUAACGGCCCACCAAGGCGAUGAUCAGUCGCCGGGCUGAGGGGAUGGACGGCCACAUUGGGAAUGAGACACGGCCCAGACUCCUACGGGAGGGAGCAGUGGGGAAUCUGCCGCAAUGGACGAAAGUCUGACGGAGCAACGCCGCGUGAGUGAUGACGGCCUUCGGGUUGUAAAGCUCUGUUAAUCGGGACGCGGUACCGGAAUAGAAAGCCACGGCUAACUACGUGCCAGCCGCCGCGGUAAUUC
rnacentral:rRNA from 1 species